UACGGAGGGUGCGAGCGUUAUCCGGAAUUACUGGGUUUAAAGGGUGCGUAGGCGGCUUUGUAAGUCAGGAGUGAAAGUUUGCGGCUCAACCGUAAAAUUGCUUCUGAUACUGCAUGGCUAGAAUUAGGAUGAGGUCAGCGGAAUGUGUCAUGUAGCGGUGAAAUGCUUAGAUAUGACACAGAACACCAAUUGCGAAGGCAGCUCGCUAAACUGUAACUGACGCUGAGGCACGAAAGCGUGGGGAUCAAACAGG
rnacentral:rRNA from 1 species